rnacentral:lncRNA from 1 species
GGCUCAUGCAUAUCAACUUCUUAUCAAUUAGUACUUGUUAAGAGUGUAUAUUUUAUUUAAACUAAGCUUACCAAAUCACAUGCAAUAUACAUAACAUCAAUUUACUACCAUUUUAAAUAUUCUUGCCUUAGUUGUUAUUAUGCCAUUUACUCACAAUUCCAUCAUCAAACAUCCAUAAUGGUAUCCACAAUUCAUCCAUGCCAAAUGAGUUUAUCCACUUCAUGAGUGACCUUAGCACAUGCAUGCAUAUAUGAAUAGGAUUAC